rnacentral:rRNA from 1 species
AUUGGAACGCUGGCGCCGGGCCUAACACAUGCAAGUCGAGCGGAUGAACGGGAGCUUGCUCCCUGAUUCAGCGGCGGACGGGUGAGUAAUGCCUAGGAAUCUGCCUGGUAGUGGGGGACAACGUUCCGAAAGGAGCGCUAAUACCGCAUACGUCCUACGGGAGAAAGUGGGGGAUCUCGGACCUCACGCUAUCAGAUGAGCCUAGGUCGGAUUAGCUAGUAGGUGGGGUAAUGGCUCACCUAGGCGACGAUCCGUAACUGGUCUGAGAGGAUGAUCAGUCACACUGGGAACUGAGACACGGUCCAAGAUCCUACGGGAGGCAGCAGUGGGGAAUAUUGGACAAGGCGAAAGCCUGAUCCAGCCAUGCCGCGUGUGUGAAGAAGGUCUUCGGAUUGUAAAGCACUUUAAGUUGGGAAGAAGCGCAGUAAGUUAUACCUUCCUGUUUGACGUUACCAC